GUGAGAGAGGAACAUCAGCUCAGUGAGAGAGGAACAUCAGCUCAGUGAGAGAGGAACAUCAGCUCUCAGUCAGCUCAGUGAGAGAGGAACAUCAGCUCUAAGUCAGCUCAGUGAGAGAGGAACAUCAGCUCAGUGAGACAGGAACAUCAGCUCUCAGUCAGCUCAGUGAGAGAGGAGCAUCAGCUCUCAGUCAGCUCAUUAAAAGAGAGGAGCAUCAGCUCUCAGUCAGCUCAGUGAGAGAGGAACAUCAGCUCUCAGUCAGCUCAGUGAGAAAGGAACUACAGCUCUCAGUCAGCUCAGUGAGAGAGGAACAUCAGCUCUGUGAGACAGGAACAUCAGCUCAGUGAGAGAGGAACAUCAGCUCAGUGAGAGAGGAACAUCAGCUCAGUGAGAGAGGAACAUCAGCUCAGUGAGAGAGGAACAUCAGCUCUCAGUCAGCUCAGUGAGAGAGGAACAUCAGCUCUAAGUCAGCUCAGUGAGAGAGGAACAUCAGCUCAGUGAGACAGGAACAUCAGCUCUCAGUCAGCUCAGUGAGAGAGAAGCAUCAGCUCUCAGUCAGCUCAGUGAGAGAGGAACAUCAGCUCUAAGUCAGCUCAGUGAGAGAGGAACAUCAGCUCAGUGAGACAGGAACAUCAGCUCUCAGUCAGCUCAGUGAGAGAGGAACAUCAGCUCUAAGUCAGCUCAGUGAGAGAGGAACAUCAGCUCAGUGAGACAGGAACAUCAGCUCUCAGUCAGCUCAGUGAGAGAGGAACAUCAGCUCAGUGAGUCAGGAACAUCAGCUCUCAGUCAGCUCAGAUGAACACUCACACAGAGGGAACAGUGGAAGUGCAUUGUAGAUUGUAAGAUUGCAAUAUUUAUAUAUAAAUGUAUUACAGAGAAGUUGAUGUAAAUAAAAUGCUUCAGAGUGCUAGUUGAUAAGAGCAGGUCACUAGCCAACAUGAGGAUUUUGGUACAUUUUACAGUGGAAAGGGAGGUAUGUUAUACACAGUAUUUCUACCGUUGCCAUGUUAAAGUGUUUCUUUUUUAUUUUCGUGGUUCUUUAUGGUUCAGUUCAAGAUGUUGAAUCUAAGUGCUUGUAAUUGUACAGGGUAAGAAUUGGUUUGCCUCUCCAUUCAGAUGAAAGUGGUGGCAAAUCUUACACACCAAAUCCAGAGCUCGUACUUACAGGGGUAGGCAACUCCAGUCCUCGGGGGCCUGACUGGUGUCACACGUUUUCUCCAUCCCCAGCAAACACAGCUGAUUAAUCAAAUGUCAUUCUAAACUGAACAUCAUGAUUAGGUGAAUGUUGGAGUCAGGGGUGUUAGCUGGGACUGGGACAAAACUGUGACACCAAUCAGGCCCCCCGAGGACUGGAAUCGCCCAUCCCUGUUAAACAUAGAGAGUAGAACAUAGGCACAGGAAUGGAAAUCAGAUUCCAGCGAUGAGAACUGCGUAGAGACAAUUAUAUACGACUGACCACGACGUGCAUUGAACUUGUUGACCACAAUGAUCCAAGACUUGAAUGGAUUUUCAAACUGUAACCGUAAGUUCCGGAACAGAUCUCCUCACAGAUCCUCAAGGCGUCCACCAAAGCAAUAGGACAUGGAACCUGAAGAUGAUGAUCAAUGGAAUCCUGUUAUGUUACACCUCAAAACACAACAACAGAUGUGAAGUCUAGGCUCGUUUCAUGAAGCGUCAGAACAGUAAUACGAACGCGUUUUCUUUUGUGGUUAUGCGAUGCGAUCAAAACCUCCCAUUUUGUUUUCGUUGUAGUGAAGUAAAAGUACUUGGUAAGUAGAUCAAGUGUUUCCCCGAGCAGUGAAGAAUGGGACUGAAAAGCAAUAUGUCCUGCUGAGCCUCUGGAGUUUCUACUCAAGUCCUUGUCAUUGUUUUCUCUGAACAGAACAGAAAGUGAAGCAAACAGACUUCCUAAUAUGGAUGCCGUACAUUGUGUUGAGUGAACCAUAGAUGUUAGUUCAUUUCUGAUCUCCUUUCUUUUCCUUUUUCCGUAUUUUUGAUUAUUUUUUUUUCACAGUUAUGUUUUAAAAUGCAAGGGUUUUGUGGACGUGGACAAUAAAGAGAUCUAUGUAUAUAAAUGCCUUGAAAUGUUCCCCUUAAACCUG